GAGAAUUCCAAAGCAGUCAGUGCUACAUUGUAGCCACCAUGUUAAACGUGCUGCUCGGCUUGAAGUAACAAUGGAAGACAUUUUGUUUCACCUUGCAAUUCCUUUAUCGGGAGGCUGCCCAGAGGUGUUGCAACACGAAGUGUCUGCAGUACUCUGCUAGAGGGCAGCAUAGCGUGAAGAAAACACUCCGACCUGCAGUUUUCCGUUGCCCUGGAAACAGAUCAGCACAAAUGGGAAAUGGUACGCUGCAGAAUGAGGAGGCGCGUGGCCUGUGGACUACUGUACUUCACUGCCACCUUCUGUUCAAGAGCAGAAUUGACGAUUAUUCUUUCACAACUCUUUCACAUAGCCAACUUGCACGUUGUUGUGAUGUUGUAUUGGAAUGGGAUAAAAAAUAAUGCAAAGGUGUGUUUUAGGACCAUGCGGACGCAACCAAAGUUGCGCCCCUGGCUAAAUGUGAGAAUGAUAAAUUAUCAAAGGUAUGCAUUGAAAAAAAGUGAGUCAAUGUAAGGUUUUAUACGUCAUAUACACAGGCGACGUGCUUGUAAUAAUCCCCAUCAACCAAGACUACAUUUCACUUUCAUUUUCAGAAUUUUCGCGUUCAGUCAGCGAAGCUUUCUAGAUACGUUCUGAAACUAAC